CGUGUAGGCGGUUUGGUAAGUCUGAUGUGAAAGCCCCGGGCUCAACCUGGGAAGUGCAUUGGAAACUGUCAGACUUGAAUACGGGAGAGGGUAGUGGAAUUCCUGGUGUAGGAGUGAAAUCCGUAGAUAUCAGGAGGAACACCGGUGGCGAAGGCGGCUACCUGGACCGAUAUUGACGCUGAGACGCGAAAGCGUGGGUAGCAAACAGGAUUAGAUACCCUGGUAGUCCACGCCGUAAACGAUGAGUACUAGGUGUUGCGGGUAUUGACCCCUGCAGUGCCGCAGCUAACGCAUUAAGUACUCCGCCUGGGAAGUACGGUCGCAAGACUAAA
rnacentral:rRNA from 1 species